rnacentral:piRNA from 1 species
UGCCUAGCUCCGGUGCCGCUGUGCCGC